UAAAACUGCUGCGUCGUCCGCCGUGGCCAC
rnacentral:sRNA from 1 species